GGGGUGUAGCUCAGUGGUGGAUUGUGUGCUUAGUGUGCACAGGCCCUGGGUUCGAUUCCCACCACCACCA
rnacentral:tRNA from 1 species